rnacentral:rRNA from 1 species
UACGGAGGGUGCAAGCAUUAAUCGGAUUUAUUGGGCGUAAAGGGCGCGUAGGUGGGAAGCUAAGUCAGAUGUGAAAUCCCGGGGCUUAACCCCGGAACAGCAUAUGAAACUGACUUUCUAGAGGAUAGGCGGGGAAAAUGGAAUUCCACAAGUAGCGGUGAAAUGCGUAGAUAUGUGGAAGAACACCGGUGGCGAAGGCGAUUUUCUAGCUUAUACCUGACACUAAAGCGCGAAAGCAAGGGGAUCAAACAGG